rnacentral:misc_RNA from 1 species
CCAAUGAAAUAUGGAAGUGAUACACCCACAGCUGCUGCAGAUAUGAUUAAUAGAAAUCCAAAGCCAUAACCAAAUGUCAUCCCAGCUACCCACAUAGAAGGUGUAGAUGGUAAAAGUAGGGCGGGGAACAAUGCCACAGAAGCAAAGAGCAGAACUGCCAGAACUGGAGUGCUAAAUGUUGUUGUCUCCCAAUUAAUGAUGGGUAUGAGCUCCUUGUC